GGGAUAUUGCUUGGAAUGAAUAGCAGAACCAUUAACAAGUGUCUAAAGAGGUUUCAUGACCGUAGAUCAGAGGGAAACAAUGGGAGAAGUAGCUGAAAGAAAAAGAUUGAUCCCAAAGGGAUGAUUGGUAGCUUCAUAGACUGUUAUGUUCUGACCAGCUACAAAUUCUAUAUGAAAUCACUGAUGCAUUUAAUGGUCAGGCUAUUAUCCAUCUUUGUUCUAAGACAGUCAGGAGGCAGCUAAAGUUUAAUGGUUUCAAGAGGCACCCAGUUACAAAGAAAACCACAAUUUUCAGUAAAUCAUGAGAAAAGGAAACAAUUUUGUUGGGAAAUACUGCAUUAGAAAAUGCGAGAAAACUGGAAAAAAGUUUAUUUAGUGAUGAGACAACAUAGAGAUUGAAAAGAACAACAAAGUUUCUGUGUGGCGUACAAUUGAUGAAUGAUUACAACCAGAAUGUAAUGGAUUGAACAAAGGUAACACCUACAAAGCUAGAUUUUCUGUCAUCUUUCGGGGUUGGAGUGGGAACUUUUACACCAAUUAAAGGAAACUUAAACUGUGAGGGAAAUAUAAAUAUUUAAGAUGAAAACUUGUGGCCUGUGAUAGCUAGACAUUUCUCUCUCGACCCC
rnacentral:lncRNA from 1 species